rfam:Rattus norvegicus chromosome 5, whole genome shotgun sequence.
GGGGAUCUGGCUCAGUGGUAGAGCGCUUGCCUAGGAAGCGCAAGGUCCUGGGUUCGGUCCCCAGCCCCG